GGUGGCUCAGGGGUAGAGCACUUGCUUUGCAUGCAUGAGGCCCUGGGUUCGAUUCCUUGGCACCA
rnacentral:tRNA from 1 species